AAUAGUAUUGGCCUUCUUCCAUUCCUGCUUUCUGAAGAACUGUGAGACUGGGUGACAGCCGGUCCUGCAGGAGGCCACACAGAAAGCGGUAAGCUGUGAGGACUCACUUUUUCUUCCUUCCUCACCCAGGAUCAGUAUGAGGCCUAGACUAUCUCUACAAGGAUAUAUAAGAAAUUAGACACCAUUGAGUUGCUUGCAAGAACUGGGCAACCCUGUGCCAAAGACAUAGAGAGAACUCGAACUAUGCUUAUUACCUGAUGUGCUGAAGAAUCCAAAACUGUAUUGUGGCAAUAAGAAAAUUUUUUUCAACCAAAGUACUGGGCAGAAAAAAGAGGACAAAGUAAUAGUUAAAAUUCAAGAAAGCACAUGGUGUUUGAAUAUUGUUAUAUUUUUGUAUAUAACAUUUCUGAAAAAC